UACACAAAGGGGGCUAGCGUUGUUCGGAAUUACUGGGCGUAAAGGGCGCGUAGGCGGUCCCUCAAGUCAGGCGUGAAAGCCCCGGGCUCAACCUGGGAACCGCGCUUGAGACUGAUGGGCUAGAGUCGGGAGAGGAUGGGUGGAAUUCCCAGUGUAGAGGUGAAAUUCGUAGAUAUUGGGAAGAACACCGAUGGCGAAGGCAGCCAUCUGGACCGACACUGACGCUGAGGCGCGAAAGCGUGGGGAGCAAACAGGAUUAGAUACCCGCGUAGUCC
rnacentral:rRNA from 1 species